rnacentral:lncRNA from 1 species
UAGUGGGAUUUGGUCCAUUAGAACAAAUCAGACAACUUUCUGAAAGGGAUUUGAAUCACCAUAUUAAUAUAGUACAUAAUAGAUAUUUGUGAAGAAUCAGUCUUGUAACAAAUACUGAAAGCUCCUCCACUCUCCACUCCAGUUCUAAUUUUUUUCUCCUUAAUUUUCUUUUUGCUUCCUCAAACAUGCACUUGUGAAGAAAACAGUAGUACACAGCUACCAGACAUCAUCUAGGCAAGGCAGCUCAAUGGUUUCUUGAUCCUUAGAGCUUUUGAUAUGUAUCUGCUAGUGUGUAUGUGUAAUUCUCAUAAAUACAUUUAGAAGUAAAGUUCUGUUUCUUUCUUGUAAUCUCAGGAAAUACUUUUGAGAAGUGUUUGAAUGUAGGUGUUCAAAAGCUGUGAUCAAAACCGAUAGAAAAGACAACAAAGCUUUAAGAAAGUUUUUAGCACACACUCAAGAGGCCCAAGAAAAGGAAGAAAUAAGAGAAACAAAGAGUGGCAUGUGAGAGAAAACUGAAAAAUUCACAUAUUGGAAAACUUUAUGAUCCAAUCUGAUGAAAAUACUCUGAGAAUAUCUCAAUUUAGAGCUUCUGAAAAUAUAAGAUCUUCUUUAAACAUAUUUUGAUUCCUGUUCCUUCCAAGUAUUUUGGCUUCAGAAGAUUUCUGUAGAGUUUAAAAAAUGCCAUUUCAUUCUCUGUGUCUGAGAGUUUCAAAAGUAUGUCCAGUUAUUCAAUAUGUCCAAAUGUAAACCCUGAGAUUAAAUAAAUUCAGAACAAUGAUGACUCA